AGCGGUGUAGGACCAGAGCAGCGUGUCUUGGGAAAUCUAUAGGACACCCUUCACAUUUCGGAAGGUCCGGUGUCAAAACGUACUACUAGAAUAUAUAUGCGACCGAUGAUGGCGCUGUCAAAACGUGAGGAGGUCGAGUUGAUCCUGCCGUGUGGCAGGAAGGUUGCUGUUGAAUUUAAUGCGCGCCAUCUAGAGAGAGAAAAAAAAAACAUCACAUACAGUGCUGUUGAUAAGCUGUUAGCUAAAUUUGAGGAGACCGACAGUGUCGGACCAUUGACAAUGACACGAAUAUGUUUCACGGUGUUCAAAGAGAAUGUAAAUACCGUCUCCAGACUUGUUUUCAAUGACAAGGACUCGUGUGGAAUAGAUUAUGUAAAAUAAAUUGAAGUGUCCAUAGUUCCAGA